UACGUAGGGGGGCAAGCGUUGUCCGGAAUUAUUGGGCGUAAAGCGCGCGCAGGCGGCUAUUUAAGUCUGGUGUUUAAACCAGUGGGCCUCGAACCUGUGGUCGCACUGGAAACUGGGUGGCUUGAGUACAGAAGAGGAAAGUGGAACUUCCACGUGUAGCGGUGAAAUGCGUAGAGAUGUGGAGGAACACCAGUGGCGAAGGCGACUUUCUGGGCUGUAACUGACGCUGAGGCGCGAAAGCGUGGGGAGCAAACAGG
rnacentral:rRNA from 1 species